GCAUGACUCAUGACUGAGGUUCAGUACUUUGUGGGCUCGGAACGGGUCAGGUGCUUCCUGCUUCCACACUGCAUGGUGGGCUAAAACGGUUGCAUUCACCAAAACCACCCCCUUUCCAUUUUCAGCAGGAGUCUAGCAGGACAGUCUGAAAAUUGACAGGAGACCAUUGCUAACUGGACCGGAGAACCCUGCCUUUUGAAGACUCUGCAAUAAACUUUGUUCUGGGAACUGGAGGAGGUGUCAGUGAACAAAGCGACCAUAUUUUCUUUUUGGAACCAUUGCUUCCUAACCAGAUGCUUUGAAAGUUGCUGUACCAGCUUCGCUCGCUCAGUUUUUCCCACCAGGAUUGUUGAUCCGCUGACCACGAAAAUAAGAGUACAAUAGUUUCAAGGUUUCUUUUACUGUGGACGGUACAGAUGUCCCAUGAGAAGAAAGCAAGGCCAGAACUGGGCAGUCCAAGCUAUUUUAUUCCUGUUCUUUAUUAGUCUUUUCCUCCCUCUUGCGCCAGCUUCCCCUGAUCUUUUUAAUCCUUACCAACUAUUGCCUUUCUGUUCUCUUUCCUCUUUGCAGAUUUAGGUUUGGAAGGCAUAAGACUGUGAUUUAGAGUGAUCCUUCCGCUGCGCUGGAGAAGCGAACCUCGAUGUGGUCCAGACCCAGUCUUGGCUGGGUCCCCAUUGCAGAUGUCACUGCUGUUGAAAUAUCUCAACUGCUGCACUGGCAAAUAUGGAGUGAGAAGGAGGUUUCAGAAUUGAAACAAAAGUGACAUCCCGUCUCCAUAUGUGACACUGAGAAAGUUCUGGAGUCUUCCUAAGCUUUCAUUUCCUCAACUGUGCACUAGCAGUAGUGUCCACCUCUGUGCAGCAGAUGGCAUUGCUAAGAGGACUAGCAGCAGCCAUCCAGGGAGAGCUUUUCAUGGUGCAGGCUGACUCCUGCUUGACCUGCAUAUUUCAGCUCAAACACGAUUUCUUCCUGGAAGCCUCUCGGAAUCCACAGGCCCAUGUGGUCUCGGAUCCAUUUCAGUGUCUUCCUAGACUCCCUCAGCAAGGAUGUGACUACACCUAUGUGACUACACCCCCCAAGUUCUGAGCUACCUCCCCGGAACAGCCCUGGGUGAACCCCACCCCUGCCCUUCCAACCCCUCAGCCCCGCCUUGGAAGAGGCUGCGCUCGCAUUCGGAGCAGCCUUCACCCGCCCAGUAGCUCCCACCCACCCCGACAUGAGCAGAGUCGCUAGACUGCACAGCACAGGGGGCCAGUUAAAUUUGAAUUUCCAAUAAAUAAUGUCUAGUUUUUGAAAUAUGAAUACAUCCCAUGCAAUAUUUGGACAAUCCUUAUACUAAGGGCAAGGACUGUGUCUCUAUUCAUCAUUUUAAUCCUGGAGUACACCUCAGUUUGGUACCUGAUAUUCAAUCAGUAUUUGUUAAUAUUGAACUGAUAAAUAGUGAAUAAAGCAGACAAAUCUGACUAAAUGUCUCAAACAUUUCCCUGGAAAAACAAAUCAUGACUGGUUGGCCAUGGAUACCCCAGCCAAAGGAAUAUGAUUAUAGGACUUUUGUUUCAAUUUACUUCAAAUGCUUUGGGGUGCAUAUUCUAUGUGAAUGUAUUUGUGCUAUUUAUACUUCUUAUUUUGGAAAAAUUUAAUUUUCUGAUCUGAACUCUGUGACCUUUCAGUAGUAUAACCUUGGUGUCUUACACAAUAAAUAAAUCAUAAAAGCCCAGGGAAUUGCUCCUACUUGCCAAAAGCUUUUACCUUACCUACAUUUCAUCUGCUCUUUCAAGCUCUGGCCCUGCAAGAACCCAAACUACGCUUGUCCUGGACAGGUAUUUACAGCUAACCAGGGUGACCUAAAGUUCCUAGUCCAACCCUUCUCUCUCUCCCUAGCCCUCCUGCGUAGGCUCACAGUCACGUGUCACUUAACAAACAAUAGGGAUAUGUUCUGAGAAAUGCACCUUAGGGCAAGUUUUUUGUGUGCACAUCGUACAGAGUGUUUAACCCAGAUGGUAUAACCUACCAUAUAGCUUCAUAGUCCUUCAUUUUAUUUUCACUUGCAGGUCAAUCACUCACUAUG